UUAAAGAAAGGAGUAGGGGAGCUCAAUAUCGCUUCCUCCACUGCUCAAUUAGUGGAGAGAGCUGCAGGGAGCUGGAAUUGUAAAGACCCCCUUAAUCAUCUCUGUCUGCCUGGCAGCAUGCAGGAGUGUGGCAGGGAUAAUUGCACCUACCAUUAACAAAUGCAAUUAAGGUGCCUGGGCCUCUAGCACCCCCUUCUCCAAUUAAACAGCAGAUGAGGGGCCUGUGGGGGUGGGCUUUGAGAUGAAUCACUUGAAGCUGGAAACUUGGAGCCUGGAAGUCUGGACAGAGAGGCGAUUAGAGACGAUAAAAUCGUGAUGUGGAAGGAGAGACUCAUAUCCAGUCCCAGCCUGCUCCAGCUUGAGGCCCAACCCACAGUUGGACAGAUAUUCUUUGGGACAAAUUAGAAGAAGUUCUGCUUCACACAUAAGAAAGUCAAUAUUUAGAACCCACCGACCACCACUUCCAGCCAAGUGCUUCCCCUUUGCCAAGGACACACUCACUGAGUGUCUAGAUACAGGUGAAGACCUGAAUAAUUCAUUUUGAUGAGAAACUGCGAUGUCUGGGUAUGUUGGCAGGGAGGGUCCAGGAAGGCACGUUCUUGUCCUGUGAAGGGGGAUGGGGGUGGAGGAAGGGGACUUCCAUUUUGUGGGCACCUCUAAUAUGCCAGGCCUUGUGCUCCCUCCCUUUCCAUAUGGCAUAUCCUUUAAUUUAAUCCAGAUCCCACCAGCCUCACACAACAACCACGAUCUCUUCAUUGCAGUGAUGGAAUAGAAGUUUGGGGAGAUCAAGAACCUUGUCUAAGAUCACAGAAUUAGCAGGUGGUGGAGCUGGUGGAGCUGGGAUUUGAACCCUGGUCUAUGUGGCUUGCAAUAGGCCACUCCCCUAUGCUGAGAUGCUUUGAAAUUGCAACUGUCAAGAUCUUUCCCCUUGUGCCUUUUGAUGCCCCCAUGAGGGUGGACUCAGGGCAACAUUUCAGAUGUUAUUCCCAAAUCUCUCCCUGCUCCCCUUGGCUGAAUCCCUGAACUUCUGAAACAAGGCCUCUCUGUGGUUCCUGUUGUGGCCUUGAGGUAGGAUUUGACAAGUUGUCAAGUCCCGAGGUGCUGACCAACAUGCUCAUCUCAAGCUGAAAUAAUAAAAUAAAAAAUCUCUCCUACCUUAAUUGCCUCUCCCUAUUCUCUUUACGCGUUUCACCAAUUACAAAUGCUAUGAAUCAUUAUGCAUGUGUGGAUCAUCACUUUCAUUUAGCAUCUCCACUGAAGCUCCAGGCGCUGAAGUACAUAAUUGAAAAGCUCCACGAUUUAAGUUUGCAAAGAGGAGGCUCAGCUCCUCUGAACAUCACAGUGUGCAGGUCUCCCCUGCUGGGGCCUAGACAGCAGCCAGGAGAUGACAGCCUGCAUCUGCCCGGGGACCCAGCCACACCAGAUGAGUGCUGAAGUAGUUCUGCUUUUGCCCAGGGGAGCUCAGGCAGAGCAACAAAAGUCACUGGGUUGCCAUCUGCUAGUUAACCCCUUCCUUCAAGACCUUCCUGAGCUAACUCCAGGACACCUGCUCCUUUCUGCAGCCUACAUUCUUCCUGAGUGUAGGGCUCUCCCAGGUCUGCCUCACUCACUUCUGACUCCAUAAGAGCUCCCAUAAGAUGGAAAGAGAAAGGGGCAGAGAUAACCAGCUGCAGCUUGGCCCAGGUGAGGAAUGAGCUGCCUGUCUUUAACAGCAGCUAGGCUUUAUCCUAGCUGCCAGAGGG
rnacentral:lncRNA from 1 species